rnacentral:rRNA from 1 species
UACGGGGGGAGCAAGCGUUGUUCGGAUUUACUGGGCGUAAAGGGCGCGUAGGCGGCCACCGCAAGUCGACUGUGAAAUCUCCGGGCUUAACCUGGAAAGGUCAGCCGAUACUGCGGGGCUAGAGUGCAGAAGGGGCAACUGGAAUUCUCGGUGUAGCGGUGAAAUGCGUAGAUAUCGAGAGGAACACCUGCGGCGAAGGCGGGUUGCUGGGCUGACACUGACGCUGAGGAGCGAAAGCGUGGGGAGCGAACAGG